AAUAAAUACAUAUUAGUCUAAAUUACCAAAAACUAAUAAUGACUUAAAACAUUUUUAAAUUUAGUAAAAGUGAUAGAAAAUUAUUAAAUACGAUCUAAGAAAAGUACCGUGAGGGAAACUAGUAAAUUAAACAAUAGAAAAAUUUAAUAUUUGUACCUUUUGCAUCAUGGUUUAGCUAGAUUAUAUUUCUUCUUAAAUUUCUCGAAAUCUAAUGAGUUAUUUUUAUUCAGUAUGUUAGUAUAAAAGAGUAGUUGUAGCAAAAACUUUCUUAGAAAUAAAAAUGGAAAUGAAAUUUUAUCCGUAUUAGAUGAUAGCUAGUUUUUCUAUAAAAGCAUAUAAGUGCUUUAAAUUAACUUAAUUUCUGUAAGUUUUCAGUGCAGGAAGAAUUUAAUUUACACAAAUUCUUGAGGAUAAGCUCGAAAAUUUAAAUUAUAUUUGUAUUAUAUUUUUAUUAAAAUUUAGGCUUGAAAAUAGCUAUAAUUUUGAGUUUGUUAUAAUUUAUUAACUAAUUAAAAAAAUAAUUAAUUUGCUUGUAUUUAUAGAAAAGAAUUUAAUAAUUAAAUUAAAUUGCAUUAAUGCUAAAAUGAGUAUUAAAAUAUUAUGUGUUCUUAACAACUUUAUUAGUUAAGAUUUAUAAUUAUUUUUUAAAUAAAAAUUAUAAAAAGGAACUCGGCAAAUAUUCAUUCUGCCUGUUUAGCAAAAACAUGGCUCCUUGGAUUCUACCUAUAAGGAGUCGGACCUGCCCAGUGAAUUUUCAACGGCCGCGGUACUCUGACCGUGCAAAGGUAGCAUAAUCAUUUGCCUUAUAAUUGAAGGCUAGUAUGAAUGGUUUGACAAGAAUGAAGCUGUCUCUUUAUAAUUUAGUAGAAUUUUAUCUUCAGGUGAAGAAGCCUGAAUAAAAUUAAAAGACAAGAAGACCCUAUCGAGCUUGAAAAAAGUUAAUAGAAUUAACUAUUAAUAUUUAUAAAAAAUUAUCUAUUAAACAUUUUAGUUGGGGCGACUGAGGAACAUAAAAAGCUUCCUUUCUAAAAUUGAUAAUCAAACUAGAAUUGAUCCAAAAUUUUUUGAUUAAAGGAAUUAGUUACCGUAGGGAUAACAGCAUUAUCUUUUUUAAGAGCUCAUAUCGAAAAAAAGGUUUGUGACCUCGAUGUUGGACCAGAAUAUCCUAAAGGUGCAGCAGUCUUUAAGGGUUGGUCUGUUCGACCAUUAAAAUUCUACGUGAUCUGAGUUCAGACCGGCGUGAGCCAGGUCAGUUUCUAUCUUUAAUUAUUUAAAUAAAUUUAGUACGAAAGGACCAAUUUAUUAUAAAAUCAUAUUUUCUACUGAUUAAAUCUAAUUGAGAAUUAAGUGAAUCAAAUUAGCAAAAUUAAUGCAAUUGACUUAGGAUCAAUAGAUAUAGGUGAAAUCCCUUUAUUUGAUAAAAUAAUAUAAAGAUGGCAGAUGAA
rnacentral:rRNA from 1 species